AAGUUCCUUCGGGAAUGGAUCGGGGGUACGGAGCGGCGAACGGGUGAGUAACACGUAGCUAACCUGCCCCCGCGCCGGGGAUAACCCGGGGAAACCCGGGCUAAUACCCGAUGGUCUCCCGGGGUCGCAAGAUCCCGGGAGUAAAGGCGCUUCGGCGCCGCGCGGGGAGGGGGCUGCGGCCCAUCAGCUAGACGGUGGGGUAACGGCCCACCGUGGCGAUGACGGGUAGGGGGCCUGAGAGGGUGGCCCCCCACACGGGCACUGAGACACGGGCCCGACUCCUACGGGAGGCAGCAGUGGGGAAUCUUGGACAAUGCCCGCAAGGGUGACCCAGCGACGCCGCGUGGGGGACGAAGCCCUUCGGGGUGUAAACCCCUUUUCUGGGGGACGAAUAAGGGCGGGAGGUAAUGCCCGCCCGAUGACGGUACCCCAGGAAUAAGCCCCGGCUAACUACGUGCCAGCAGCCGCGGUAAGACGUAGGGGGCAAGCGUUGCCCGGAUUCACUGGGCGUAAAGCGCGCGUAGGCGGUUCGGCAAGUCGCCCGUGAAAGCCCCUGGCUCAACUGGGGGAGGCCGGGCGAUACUGCCGGGCUAGAGGGCGGCAGAGGGAGGUGGAACGGCCGGAGUAGCGGUGAAAUGCGUAGAUACCGGCCGGAAUCCCGAUGGCGAAGGCAACCUCCUGGGCCGUUCCUGACGCUGAGGCGCGAAAGCUGGGGGAGCGAACCGGAUUAGAUACCCGGGUAGUCCCAGCCCUAAACGAUGCGGGCUAGGUGUCGGCCCGUCACUGGGUCGGUGCCGCAGCUAACGCGUUAAGCCCGCCGCCUGGGGAGUACGGUCGCAAGGCUGAAACUCAAGGGAAUUGACGGGGGCCCGCACAAGCGGCGGAGCAUGUGGUUUAAUUCGAUGCUAAGCGAAGAACCUUACCCGGGCUUGACAUGCGGGUGGUACCGACCCGAAAGGGAAGGGACCCAGGGCCUUAGGGCGCCUGGGAGCCCGCACAGGUGCUGCAUGGCUGUCGUCAGCUCGUGUCGUGGGACGUCGGGUUAAGUCC
rnacentral:rRNA from 1 species